GACAGAGGUCCCGAGCGUUGUUCGGAUUCAUUGGGCGUAAAGGGUGUGUAGGAGGUCGGGUAAGUCAGGUGUGAAAUCUCAGAGCUUAACUCUGAAACUGCGCUUGAUACUGCUCGGCUAGAGGAUCGGAGGGGGUAUCGGAAUUUAUGGUGUAGCAGUGAAAUGCGUAGAUAUCAUAAGGAACACCGGUGGCGAAGGCGGAUACCUGGAAGAUUCCUGACUCUGAAACACGAAAGCCAGGGGAGCAAACGGG
rnacentral:rRNA from 1 species